rnacentral:rRNA from 1 species
UACGGAGGGGGCGAGCGCUGCCCGAAUUUACUGGGCGUAAAGCGCACGUAGGCGGCUUCGUAAGUCUGGUGUGAAAUCUCACGGCUCAACCGAGAGGCUGCACCAGAUACUGCGAAGCUCGAGGACGGGAGAGGAGAUUGGAAUUCCCGGUGUAGCGGUGAAAUGCAUUGAUAUCGGUAGGACCACCAGUGGCGAAGGCGGAUCCCUGGCCCGUUGCUGAAGCUGAGGUGCGAAAGCUGGGGGAUCGAAAGGG